UACCUCAGCGAUGGGCAAAGAGACACCUUGAUGGGGGUGGCACUCUUACAUUAGUCAGGAGCAGAGUAGAUGCCAGUCUUUCGUUUACCCUAGCUUGAUGCCUGCCUUGGAGGCCAAAGCUGUUUUAUUCCUGGGACAUAGAA